ACUCGACAAAUGAGACUGAAAGACCAUAUAACGAUGAACAAAUAUUUUAACGUUUUGAGUAGUUAAGUAACUUAAUGUGUGAGUUGCACGUAAUGCCGACUGUGUUAAAAAAAUUUUGCUUCCUAGAUUUACGUGUUUACAUAUAUAAUGGAGUUGGUAAUUGUAUUUUACAUGGUAUAUAAUUAAAUUGCAAAUAAUAACGGUUCCUUCUGUGAAGAUAAAGUUGAAAGUGAAUGAAAUGUUCAGAUUAUUAAAUUCCAUGGUGUAAGAUAUGCAUUGAUGUUGGGAUUAUAAUGCAUUCCAUAUGAUGGCAAUAGAUUCGGAUGCAACAUCGAUGGCCCGAAUGUCGAAUGCAAUGGGAAGUGUUGCGGCCAAAAUUCGGUCGAAUGUGUAGCGGUUGCGGCAAUAUUACGCAAUGUAGAAUUAUUAUGUGGAAUUGAUAAUGGAAAUUCAGCACGACGGUUUUGAAACCACACCUGUUACAAAAGAGGAAAAAAUUAUUAUUACUUUAAUUGUAUUCAUCGGCAGCAGUCAAAAUCGGCAUUGGCACAAAAAAAAAUGUCAAUCUUUCUUCUUAUCGUCAAACUUUUUGGCUUGCUUUUUAAAGACGCGAUUUAAUAACAUAAGAAUAAUAAAAAUGUACUGUACCUGAACACGAGCCUCGGUCAAUUCCAAUCGAAGAGCCAAUUCUUCGCGUGUGAAAACAUCGGGAUAUUGUAUUUUUUCAAAUGCUCGUUCCAGCUGAUUUAAUUGAAAGGUGGAGAAUGUUGUUCUCGAUCGACUUCAAAUAUAAAAUAAAAUCAAAUUAUUUUACUGUUUAUAACAAAAGAGCAUCAAUUAAUCACUGUUAUUGAUAAUUACCGUCUUAUUUUACGUGGUCGGCUCAUGUCGUUUGGGUCAUGAUCAACCACAUCCAAAUCGCCCGUCAAUGAAUAGUCGUCGUCAUUUUCAAUGUCCAACUCGAUUUCAUGAUCUGAAAGGAAAAAUCAUUCAAAAAAGUUAAUUUUCAGAAUUGAUUGAAAAAAAAAAACGAAAAUUCUCUUCAUUCUCCGCUACACCACAUAGUCAACUUACCCAUUGUGUUAUUAUUUUGGCCGUCGUGUAUUCCCAAUAUUUGAUCGAUACUAUAAACACCUUUCGGCUUGGAUAUUGUCUCGAUCUGUGAUGAUUGCAUGAUGAUUUUUUUCUUCGCCUCUUUGUUUACUAUAGAAUGGUCCUUCAAUACGU